rnacentral:rRNA from 1 species
AGAGGGGGACCUUCGGGCCUCUUGCCAUCAGAUGUGCCCAGAUGGGAUUAGCUAGUAGGUGGGGUAACGGCUCACCUAGGCGACGAUCCCUAGCUGGUCUGAGAGGAUGACCAGCCACACUGGAACUGAGACACGGUCCAGACUCCUACGGGAGGCAGCAGUGGGGAAUAUUGCACAAUGGGCGCAAGCCUGAUGCAGCCAUGCCGCGUGUAUGAAGAAGGCCUUCGGGUUGUAAAGUACUUUCAGCGGGGAGGAAGGCGUUGAGGUUAAUAACCUCAGCGAUUGACGUUACCCGCAGAAGAAGCACCGGCUAACUCCGUGCCAGCAGCCGCGGUAAUACGGAGGGUGCAAGCGUUAAUCGGAAUUACUGGGCGUAAAGCGCACGCAGGCGGUCUGUCAAGUCGGAUGUGAAAUCCCCGGGCUCAACCUGGGAACUGCAUUCGAAACUGGCAGGCUAGAGUCUUGUAGAGGGGGGUAGAAUUCCAGGUGUAGCGGUGAAAUGCGUAGAGAUCUGNGAGGAAUACCGGUGGCGAAGGCGGCCCCCUGGACAAAGACUGACGCUCAGGUGCGAAAGCGUGGGGAGCAAACAGNGAUUAGAUACCCUGGUAGCCCACGCCGUAAACGAUGUCGACCUGGAGGUUGUGCCCUUGAGGCGUGGCUUCCGGAGCUAACGCGUUAAGUCGACCGNCCUGGGGAGUACGGCCGCAAGGUUAAAACUCAAAUGAAUUGACGGGGGCCCGCACAAGCGGUGGAGCAUGUGGUUUAAUUCGAUGCAACGCGAAGAACCUUACCUACUCUUGACAUCCAGAGAACUUUCCAGAGAUGGAUUGGUGCCUUCGGGAACUCUGAGACAGGUGCUGCAUGGCUGUCGUCAGCUCGUGUUGUGAAAUGUUGGGUUAAGUCCCGCAACGAGCGCAACCCUUAUCCUUUGUUGCCAGCGGUUAGGCCGGGAACUCAAAGGAGACUGCCAGUGAUAAACUGGAGGAAGGUGGGGAUGACGUCAAAUCAUCAUGGCCCUUACGAGUAGGGCUACACACGUGCUACAAUGGCGCAUACAAAGAGAAGCGACCUCGCGAGAGCAAGCGGACCUCAUAAAGUGCGUCGUAGUCCGGAUUGGAGUCUGCAACUCGACUCCAUGAAGUCGGAAUCGCUAGUAAUCGUAGAUCAGAAUGCUACGGUGAAUACGUUCCCGGGCCUUGUACACACCGCCCGUCACACCAUGGGAGUGGGUUGC